GAAUGGUUGGCAACGUCUGCUUUGUCACUUUGUCAGAGCAGCUGGCUUUCCUUCCAACUUUCACAGUCAUUUCCAACUGUGAAAAUUAUAAGCUGAGGUUGCUUUCAGAUCUCUAUAGGUGAUCAUCAGUUUUAGCCGAGUUUGCAAAGGAAGUGAAUUUAGCAAGUGUUAUUCUGUGAGCUGCACCAAGAUCAAAGCUUUGACAACUAUCAUAGUACAAAAUGUGUGGUGGAUUUAAAUUCUCCAAAAAUGCUCUUAUUGCUCUGAACAUUCUCUACAUUUUGGUAGGCUUUAUCUUAAUUGGAGUAGCUACCUAUGGGAAAGCUGCAAAUUUGGUUACCAGCUUGCCAAUUAUUGGUGGCAUAGUAGCAUGUGGCAUUUUUCUUUUGGUAAUUGCCAUAAUGGGCUUGAUUGGAGCUGUGAAACAUCAUCAAGUUCUCCUUUUCUUUUAUAUGGUGGUCCUCUUCAUCCUCUUUGUCGUUCAAUUUGCUAUUGCCUGUGCUUGCCUUGCUGUAAAUUCAGAAACUCAGAAAAAAUUGGCUGAAGUGGGCUGGGAUAACGCUGACAACGCUACCCGUGACGAUGUCGAGAAAGCUUUUCACUGUUGCGGAUUCCGCAAUGCAACUGAAAGUGCAACCUGUUCAACCAACUGUCCUACUUGUCCGACAUGCGAAGAUCAACUUGAAACUAUGAUUAACUACGGUUUCCGCGUGUCUGGUGGAAUUGGUCUUUUCUUUAGCUUCACUGAGUUCGUUGGAGUGUGGUUGACCGUGCGCUAUCGCAAUCAGAAAGACCCAAAGGGCCACCCCGGUGCUUUUCUCUAAAUUCUUCCUACAAGUCCAUCAGCAAUUCAAUUCCUCUUUUUUCUCUUCGUGUUUACCCUACCUUUAUCUUUCUCCUUCACAUUUACAUCCUUGCAUAACACUCAUUCCUAGGACUCAAGCUUCUGGGAUUCUCAGUCGCAUAUCGCUUCAGGCAUAUGGCUGCUGGAAUGAACGAGGUGCAGUAAUCUUCUCAGACCUGAUUGGAAACUGUUAAAGCGCUCCCUACGCCAGAAUUUUUCAUCUGCUUCAUUCCACAGUUUAAUUUUUUAAGUGUCAUGUGUGCUCAUCGUCCUUGGACAUUGUGUUAGCGAAGUUUUUGUUAUUUUUUGUUUUUUUUUUUAAGUGAGGAAAUGGUGCGGGAAAAGCGUAAUAUAAUUAUGUGGCAAUAAAUGUUAUUCAGUUAACUGAAAUACAUUAUGAGUCUAUUAAACAUAA